ACAGAGGGGGCUAGCGUUGUUCGGAAUUACUGGGCGUAAAGGGCGCGUAGGUGGCCUGUUAAGUCGAACGUGAAAUCCCUGGGCUCAACCCAGGAACUGCGUCCGAUACUGGUUGGCUUGAAUCCGGGAGAGGGAUGCGGAAUUCCAGGUGUAGCGGUGGAAUGCGUAGAUAUCUGGAGGAACACCGGUGGCGAAGGCGGCAUCCUGGACCGGCAUUGACGCUGAGGCGCGAAAGCCAGGGGAGCAAACGGGA
rnacentral:rRNA from 1 species